GUGUGAUUAGCUACCAUGUGAUAUAUGAUGAAUUAAGAUUUAUUUUGAUUUACAUUAUUGCUGUGGUUGUGUCUAAUUACGUCGGCGUGCACUUCUCCUCUAGUAGAACGUCGCGACCCGCUGGGUGUCGGUUUAAGGGGUCAGUUUGUCGACUGUAUCGUCGCUUUUAGUGUUACGUGUACAGACAACUAAAUCUCCCAAUCGACUGCUCGGCGGUAUAAUUAUACCAUGGUAUCAAGCCGCAAUUUUGAAUGCGUUUAGACUUGUCGCAAGCUACAUCAUUUUUUAUAGUCCUGGAGUGCGGACCUAGUGCCGUACCUGGGAAUGAUUGGCUGUUGGUUGACAAUGUUCUCAAACUGGCUUAUUUUAUGCAUUUUUUGCAAGAUACCGGUCAGCGACGCUAUUGCUUUGGGUACUUUCAGGACCCGUCUUGAAACACGGACCAAGGAGUCUAACAUGUACGCAAGUCAUUGGGAUUAUUAAAACCUAAAGGCGUAUUGAAAGAGAAGAUCGGUCUUGUGCCGAUUCAGGGAGGAUGAGCCUUCUUUUUUUAUUGAAAAGGCUUCGCACUCCCGGGGCGUCUCUUAAAGUCAUUGCGACUUGAGGUGCACCUAGAGCGUACACGUUGGGACCCGAAAGAUGGUGAACUAUGCCUGGUCAGGAUGAAGUCACGGGAAACCCUGAUGGAGGUCCGUAGCGUAUCUGACGUGCAAAUCGAUCGUCGGAACUGGGUAUAGGGG
rnacentral:rRNA from 1 species